CCCCCAUGGCCUACCUGGAAACCUAGCAUCCCUUCACUACCCUCUGCACCCCCACCCUGCAGUGCCCCACCCCAAACCAGACUGGGCUCCUCCCCCCACCACACACUGGUCCAGGGAGCGCCACAUAAACUGGCUGGGCUGGAAGGAGGCUGGUGAAAUGCCAACUUCCCGGCUUGCCCGGGCACUUUCGCAGGCAAGGAAAGAGGAUCCCAACGCUCCAAACCAAAGCAGCUUUCAGGACAGAGAACGCGGCCCUGUGUGGUCAGCAUUUCUGAACUACGCUGCCUUUUCAACCUGCCAGGGGUCCGAGACAAGCAGCCUGCCCCACGAACAGCCACGUGCCCUCACCGCUCCCGCUUUACAGUGUGGGCUCUGGGUUCCAGCCGCUUCAGUGGGGCUCCAGCCUGAGCGCGGGGGCAGCAUCAGGCCAGACCCAGGGCGAGGCUCCUUGUGAGACCCCCCCACCCCCCCACCUGCCCAGGGCCCAGGAAGUCUGGCCCGCACCCCAGCCCCCCACACCGACCAUGCAUUUCCAGGCCAGUAGCUGCCUCGCGCCCAAACGCUGAGGCAGGACAUGCACUCCAUACCCUGUACAGUAGCCCAGAAAUGUGACCCUAAUCCAGAUCCAUCUGCUGGUUUUAGGAAAUUCACAGACGGAGGAAGGAGAGGCAGCUGGAUCAAGGACCUGGCUUAUCCUGUGAAGAAAGGAUGGGGAGGGGACGCCGGCAAUAGAGAGAUGUGAGUAGGAGACCUCAGCUGGACUGGAUUCAAACGAAACCAACUUGACAACACGCAUGUGGCAACCGAGAAAUCUGAUGAUGGCUCCGGACGCGCAGGCUCUGCGGCACGUGGGAUCUUCCCGGACCGGGGCACGAACCCGUGUCCCCUGCAUCGGCAGGCGGACUCCCAACCACUGCGCCACCAGGGAAGCCCUGUUGUUUUUUAAAGUAACAGCUUUGUUGCGAUAUAGUGGUUAUCAGGUUACAGAGCUGUGCAACUAUCACCACGACCUAAAAUUCUACUUUUUAUCUGCUUGAAAUGCUCCACAGUUCUCCUUGCUUCACGGCUGGGGUGCCAGAGGCGUUGAUGUCUGAAUGAACUGCCCAGGGCAUCUGUCCUGUCCCCUGGCUGGGGCAGCAGGAGCCCUGGGGCAGCUUCCACCUGUCCUGGGACAUCAAAAGGCCUCAGGAUGGUACUCUCACCAGCUCCUGCCCUAGCCUGUCUGUCUGAGGGUCUGCAGCCCAUAGAACCAGGGUCUCCCAGGCCCUUCUGGGUUUGCUGGACAAUAGGCCAGUGUCCAAAACCCCAGGGCUCUGACUCAAGGGGCACCUCUAGGGAGACCAGCCAGUCCUACUGGGAACUCUUAUUCCUAGGGGGUUUGUAGCACCAGAUGCUUGCUGGGAAGGGGCAGCCCUGUGGGAUCCACAGUGACCUGGAUCCAGGACCUCAACACUGACCACCCCUAAAUGUGCAGGCCCUGCUCUCGCCCCAGCCAUCUGUCCACAGGCCAUCCCAGUGUACCCAGGCAGGGCUGCAGCUUCUCCCCUCCUCUGGGCCCUACUCCUCCAUAAACCCAAGAGCUCUCCUUGGAGGGUGCAGAGGAUGGUCUUGUAGCCUGAGACAGCGAGGCAGACUAGUUAGUGGCCUGGACACAGAAACCAGACCCAGCACUUCACCGUCCUUUAUUAACACCCCUGUAGGGCGACGUGGAAGUGCUGGCCACUUGCUGGGGGGGCGGGGGGUGUGGCACAGUGGCCAGGUGACUGGGGGAGGCGGACAGAUGCAGCUCCCAGCCCAUCUGCAGGCUGCUGUGGCAGUGGAACCUGGGCAGUGGCGUUUUGGCUGAUCAGCUGCUGGGGACCUUGCAAGUGACCGCUGUGUAGACAGGAGCCCCUGUGGACAUGCCACUCCUGCUCAGGGAGCCAGGAGGGGACACUGCCCGCUCCAUGAAGGCAGCAGCCGCCUGCUGGCACUGAGAGGUUUUGGUGAAACUGAUUGAUUGUUAAAGCAACUGGGGAUGGGCUGGACCGGGGGGGCAGGGGUGUGGGGCACCUGUGGGUCACACCCAGACCCUCCCUCCUGGGUACUCAUUCUGCCCUGGCCCGGCAGCUGUGGGUGCGCAGCUACCUUUGAGAACAUCAUAAAAGCUAUGGUCCCUCUCCUGGGAUGAAAGUGCAGGUGCACGGGUCAUUUGGUGAGCGAUGCCGGGGGUCCACACCCCCACUCUAUCACCCAGGUCCUCGGUGGAAGCUGCUGGAAGACAGUGCUGGGGGCCCUGGGCUUAGUGAAAGGAAGAGACUACAGGGGCUGGAGACUCCAGACUGCAGAAAGCCUGGACAGCCUGCCCCUCCCAACUCCAGGGUUAACUGCCUACUUGGGGAGAGAGAAAACUGAACCUGGGGCCUAGACACCUUCCUCUGAGGGAGUCACUGGUGUGCAGAGGAGGCCGCUGGACAUCAGGACGGCACUUUGAUGCCGAAGUGUUUGCGAAGCUGCUCCAGAAACACAAACUGCAGAACACCCUGCAAAAAACGCAAGAUAAUGCAAUAAGAUGGAAAGCUGCUUCUCGAAAGGCACAAACGCCCACCCCCCACCCCCGCACCUGAUGGCAGGCAUGAGUGUGCAAAGCAGCCUGCAAGUUCAAAGGUAAACACGGGAGGUGGGGUUGGCAGGCACAAAGGUCAAGGGCUGCCCUGCCCACUAACCAGGCAAAACUAGAAUCUGAAAAACCACCCAGGGCCAGGCUGACCUGCCAGGCACCUACGGUGCUUGAGCGGCUGCCAUAAAGGCACAGAAGACACUGUGCGUGAUGGAGGGAGCCUCGGACAGGUGCUUGGCCCCAGGCGCUGGACCUGCCGACCUGCACCGUGCCGAGUUUCACUGACUGCAGUGAUCCAACUGCCUCUGUUAACGAGUCAAAGAAUCUGAUUUAAAAA